CCGGAAGCCCGACGUGGGAUUCGAUCCCAGGUCUCCAGGAUCGCGCCCUGGGCCAAAGGCAGGCGCCAAACCCCUGCGCCACCCAGGGAUCCCGUAUGUUAACAUUUGUAUGAAAAAUAAACUAUACAGAUACAUGUCUACAACAGUUAAGACUCUCUAGAAGGCUAAACAAGAAACUUACAACAAUGAAUCCUGGAAAAGAGAUUCUGGUAGCUGUGGAACAGAAAAAGAAGAGAAAUGCCCUCUCCUUUUCAUUUUCUCAUGCUACAAAAAAUUCCAACAAAUAAUAUGAGAGCAAGAAUUAUCAUCCUGGCUAAUGGAUCUCAAGUUAAUCCCUGGAGAAAUGCCAUACAUUUUCUCUCUUGCAUCACCAUGAAAAAACAUUCUUCUAGUAUCAACCGCUUGGAGUCACACUGUUCUGAUCUCUUUUGAUAUUAUAACACACCUUAAAAAGAUUCAAAGACUAGAAUUGCAAAAAAGGUGAGACAACAAUAUUGGAGAAAUAUAAAAUAUAUUUGAAGGAUCAAGAGUUAAUUUUACUGGAAGACAUUUAAGAAAGUUGAGAUUUUUCCUCAAAAAUCUUUGGGAACCUUCAGUAAAACACAGUACACCCUCACUUAGCUAGCUAAUGGAUCAGAAUCUCUGAGAGUAAGAUUCAAACAAGUCUCCCAGUAAUUUUUUUGGUCUAUUGUCAUUUUAAGAACAAAUGAGGACUAAUGAAACAGAAGGGGUUAAUUAAAAAGGCUCUGCAUAGGCAGUGAACCUUGAGCAGAUUUCAAGUGGAACAUUAAGUGACAGGGAGGAGUUCAGUAGUUAAUCCACGCCAGAGGGACGGUAUGUGAGUACACUCCGCUUCCAGAGCUGGUUCAGCAUCCUAGGCAGAGAAGUGAUCACACUAGUCCUGAAUAAGCGGUGGGGGCCUAACAAGGUCAGGACUGUCAACCAAAACUACUAUUAGAAAAACACCAGGCUUCUAUUGUCUAAUUCUUACCAUCCGAGAUUCCAAUAUAUUUUUUCAUUACCCACUCUGGAAAUAAAACCCUUCAAACUACCACAAUACUAACUGACAGAGCAUAAGACCAAAACAACUUAAGCAAAAGAAGGUACUUUUAUUUUCUUUUUUAAGAAGUAAAAAGGUUAAAAAAGUCAUUUUAGUUUUUAUACUAGAUUAUUAUAAACAUUUAUAAACAGAACUUCCAUACAAGGGAGCCUUUCUUCUCUACCAGCUAACCGAAAGACAAACAAGUAUUCAAAUUUAGAAGCUUACUCAAAUUUAGAGUAAAAAAAUAUAAAAUAAGAAAUUGAACCUAAUGUUAUAAGAUUAAUUCUAAUAGGUCAGUUUCCACAUCUGUAAAAUAGCUUGAGACUAAGUGAUUUCUAAAGUCUCAUCUAGCUCAAUGUCUAAAAUUGAGAUCUACAAAUUGCUCAGACUUUGAUUUAAAUAUACUAGAUUAUUCAAAAACUAUGAUGUAAGCUUAUUCUGACAAUUCAAAUAACCCUGAAUGUCAGAAUACUAAUAUCUACAAUCCAUAAAUGAUCAGCAGUAGUUUUCAGACUUCCUGUUAGCAUGUGUUCUGACUAAAUGAUGAGCAAAAAAUAACUCUUUUCUCUUACUUGGACUGCUAAUAUUAACAGCAUGCAACAUAGCUACUCGUUGAGGAGUUCUAAAAGGCCCUAAAGUAAUGGAAUCCUGAAAGUCUCAUAAAAAUAAGAGAAACAUCAUUAGCUAACUAGUAAAUACCAUGCCGAAAGUAACUCAAUGACAAUCUUAAAUCUGAACUAUUUAGAUUAUAAAAUUUAAGAUCUUUAUCUAUCAUGCAAAAAUGGCAGUACUACUUUAUAAUCUGAGUAUCAUCUCUAUCUCCUUUGGCUAAAUAGGAAAGAACAAAACUGUCCAUGGUACUCUCCCCUAGUAAUUCUGUCAUUCUUACUCUGCACAGUAUGUGUUUUCCAUGUUAUUGUGAGAGAGAGGUGCUGCACAGAAGUGCCCAUAGGGACCAAGACUUUAUCUAUACUGGAAUUGAAUCUGGAAAAAGUAAGUUUAUCUGAAUGGAGUUUUACACAGAAUUGAGUAUUUCUCAAUGUAAGAGGAUUUUGUGCUCUAAUGAAAAAAAAAAUCGAAUAAGUCUGAUUCUUUAGAUUGUCCAUAAUUACUAACUUAAUUCUUAAAUUAAGGGACUGGUCUGCAGGAGGAACAAAGCUCCUUACCAUUAAAAAAAAAAACAAAACAAGACAUCAGUUUAAGCAUCAAUUUUGCUUCCAUAGAAAA